CCGGAGGUGGUAGUCGCCGCAGCAAAGAGGUCAUUACCAAGGCCGCCAUCAUAGAAGUCAAGAAUAUGAGCAGCUAUGGGGCUUGAAAUUUCCUCCUGUAAAUUUCAGAGUGGGACAAAAUAUGCAAGUACCAGUUGUUCUUGGAAAUGACUUCUUGUCAUUUUAAUUACAACCUCAUGAGCAUGCAUUGAUGUAUAGACAGGAUGCAAGAAAUACGGCGGCAAAAAGAUCUCAAGAAGGAAAUGAAAUUGCUUGGCUGGGUUUCAGAACAUCAUCACAAACCUAGGAAGAACCGAGCAAAAAAAUGUGUUAGAUCAGAGAAGCAAUUACUGUGAUGCAAUCAUCGGGAAGCAUGGCGGGCACCAAGGAUCUUCAAUGCAUGAAGAUGAUCUGAUUGGUGCGCAGCGUAGCUUUUGGGCUAAACUUUCUCCAAUAUAUAACAGUGAUCCUUGAGAAGAGAUGAAAUGGUUCUACUUGUUGUGGCUAUAAUGGGAGAACGGGCAUGUGCGAGCAUGAUAGGCUAUAACGAAAGAGAGGGGACCGAAAAUAAGCCUGUUUGGCCAUGCAGAUGCACAUGACUUUUUUUCCAAAAUGACAUCACCAAGGAAGUCAGGACCCUGAAGUUUCUCUGCUACGAUUGCGGUCGGGAGAGAUACGGGAUAAAACCAAAGACAGAACCAAGAAGUCAGCGAACAUAAAUUAAUUGGAUAUCCUAUAAAUGCUGCUGCAUGGUGUAAUGCAAGGAUGCUAUUUUUGCGCAGAUUGCUUAUUCCUGGAAAGAAGUCUCCAUGACGGUCACUCCUGGAACCUGAUAGGCCAGAUCAUGCGACCGCAUUGACGGAGUGUUUUAGCCCGUAUAUGAAACAUAUUUCCUUUAUUAUUUGCAUCAUGGCAAUCUCCUUUUAGUCA